UGUUGUGCGUGAUUUUAUUUGUUCGCGAUCGAAUCGUUGUAAAAUAAAAAAAUUAUUAAAAAUAUAAAUUCUAUACUUACGUUGUUUAAAAUAUUACAUAAUUAUAAAUGAAGUAGUGAAUCAUAUUUCUGAUAAAUAAAAUCUUUAAAUUCGUGGGUUUUUCAGUGUUUUUUUGCAUUCUUUUCGAAUGUCUACCUAUAAAUUUUAUUUUCAUUGGAUUAAUUUCGCGACCGUUACUUUGGAAUUGUUUUUGUCGGGCUCGGUGGAGAAGUGUGUUUGAUUUGAUGUGUGUGUUAUUUUGCGGUAAUAUUUGAAUAAAUUUCAAAUUCAAAAUGAAACAUUUUCAUUUAAAUACAUUUUUGAGGAAUUUGGAAUGAAAACGUACUCCUCAUCCUACGACGACGACGACGAUGAUGAUGUCGACUACGACUAUGGCCAGGACUACGUCGACGAUAACAAGGACGAUUGUUAUUUCGUAUUUAAUUCAUCGCUCGUUAAGCACAUUUGGUGCGCUUUGCUUGUCGUCAUUCGAAAACAUUUUCUUAAAUUUGUUCUACUUCAAAACUUGCAUGAAAUGCUAUAAGUUCGACAGUGAUUUCAGGU